rnacentral:rRNA from 1 species
ACGAACGCUGGCGGCGUGCCUAAUACAUGCCAGUUGAGCGCUGAAGGUUGGUACUUGUACCAACUGGAUGAGCAGCGAACGGGUGAGUAACGCGUGGGGAAUCUGCCUUUGAGCGGGGGACAACAUUUGGAAACGAAUGCUAAUACCGCAUAAAAACUUUAAACACAAGUUUUAAGUUUGAAAGAUGCAAUUGCAUCACUCAAAGAUGAUCCCGCGUUGUAUUAGCUAGUUGGUGAGGUAAAGGCUCACCAAGGCGAUGAUACAUAGCCGACCUGAGAGGGUGAUCGGCCACAUUGGGACUGAGACACGGCCCAAACUCCUACGGGAGGCAGCAGCAGGGAAUCUUCGGCAAUGGACGAAAGUCUGACCGAGCAACGCCGCGUGAGUGAAGAAGGUUUUCGGAUCGUAAAACUCUGUUGGUAGAGAAGAACGUUGGUGAGAGUGGAAAGCUCAUCAAGUGACGGUAACUACCCAGAAAGGGACGGCUAACUACGUG